GCCGGAAGCGGAAGUAGCGAGGUUUCCAUGGCGGCGGCCGGAAGCGGAAGUAGCCUAGUCUCCAUGGCGGCGGCCGGCGGUCCCGUGUUGUGGCGGCGGCUCUUGGGCCUGCUGCCUCACGGGAGGCUGGGCCUGGCCGCGCUGCUUGGGCGCCUCUCGGACCGGCUGUCCCUCGGCCGGGACCGGCGCUCCCGGAGAUCAUCGUGGCUGCUGGUGGCCCCAUUGCUCACCCCUGCGGUUCCUCAGGUCACAGCCCCAUCGUUCUGCGUUUGUCCUGAGGGGGCGCACAGGUUCCAGUGGAUCAGGAACCUGGUUCCAGAGUUUGGGGUCUCCAGCUCUCACAUCCAGGUGCUCUCCUCCCCAACUGAAUUCUAUGAGCUCAUGAAGGAACAGAUAAAGGCAGCCAAGCAGCGAGUGGUGGUGGCUUCGCUGUACCUUGGAACAGGACUCCUAGAACAGGAGCUGGUGGAUUGCAUAGAAGAAACACUGGAGAGGUCACUGCAGGCAAGUGGGCCCUCUGACUUCAGAGUUUCCAUUCUCCUAGAUUUCACAAGGGGAUCUCGAGGCAGGAAGAACUCUCGAACCAUGUUACUUCCACUGCUGAGAAGGUUUCCAGAGCAAGUCCGUGUAUCCCUCUUCCACACUCCAAAUCUGCGUGGGCUUCUCAAACGCUUAAUCCCUGAGCGUUUCAACGAAACCAUCGGGCUGCAGCACAUCAAGGUUUACCUCUUUGAUGAUAACGUGAUCCUGAGUGGCGCAAACUUGAGUGACUCGUACUUCACCAAUCGGCAGGACCGCUAUGUGUUCCUACAGGACUCUUCGGAGAUCGCCGAUUUCUUCACUGAACUAGUGGAUGCAAUUGGAGAUGUGUCACUGCAGUUACAGCCAGAUGAUACAGUCCAGAUGAUGGAGGGGAUGGUGCAUCCUUACCAAGGAGACAAGACGGCAUAUUGUGAAGUGGCAAAUAGGAGAGUAAUGGAAGUGAUCAACGCUGCCAGGACACGACAAGAACUCCACACGCAGACUUUUCAUGGAAGGCGAUCAGAAGGAGAUCCGUUAUUGCCCCAGCGAGAACCUAAUGCAGGAAGGGACCAAAAACCAGAACCGGACACCUGGAUUUAUCCACUAAUUCAAAUGAAACCCUUUGGGAUUCAAAUAGAUGAGAGAGUCACAGAGACGUUGCUGACAGAGGCAGAGCGAGGUGCCAGAAUAUACCUCACCACUGGCUACUUCAACCUCACGCAAGCCUACAUGGAUCUCGUUCUGGGCACCAGAGCAGAGUAUCGGAUUCUACUGGCCUCACCGGAGGUGAAUGGGUUCUUUGGUGCCAAAGGGGUGGCAGGUGCCAUUCCUGCUGCCUAUGUUUACAUUGCACAUCAGUUUUACAACGAGGUGUGCUGCCUUGGCCAGCAAGACAGGGUCCAACUGCAGGAGUACUCCAGGAAUGGAUGGACUUUCCACGCUAAAGGCCUCUGGCUGUACUUGGCAGGAAGCAGUCUACCCUGCCUGACUCUGAUUGGCUCUCCUAAUUUUGGGUACAGGUCGGUUCAUCGGGACCUGGAAGCUCAGGUGGCAAUAGUGACAGAAAAUCGUGACCUGCAGCAGCAGCUCCAUCAGGAGCAGGAGCAGCUUUACCUCAAGUCAGGCGUCGUGUCGUCAUCUACAUUUGAACAGCCAACCCGCUAUGUAAAGCUGUGGGUGAAGCUAGUAACGCCUCUGAUUAAGAACUUCUUUUGAAAGGAGAAAGGAUCUUCCUCUAGGGAUUGAAGAACCAGGACUACUGAGGCCUCAUAAAUGGCCAGAUUGAAGGUCCAGACGUAGGUGGGGCCUCGCGUGCGAGUCUUGUAGACUGGGCACUCGUAGACGUUCUUGGUGUCCAUACGGUCCACAGGGAUGGCUCUGAUGAAGAUGACUGGCAUCGAGGGCGUUAACUCCUUCAGCCGAGCGUCUGUGAUGACACCACUAGGAAUGUCCCACCGAGCACCUGCAGUGUUAUGGCUUAGUCAGUAUACCAGCUGCCAUGGGUUCUAUUUGCUGUAUCUGCUGGGGGGAAGAGUUCUCCUAGAAGCAUGGUUAAGGGUCAGCUGGAGGACCAAAGGGCUGUACUGAAGUAGCCUGGGCUUAGUCACCCCUAACAAUAUUACUAAGGAUAAGAUCUCUAACUACAAUGGUCAAUUCUGUCCUUACUCUCCCCCCCCAGGGCCCAUGUCAGGGGAGACUGCACAGCUUGGGGAAGAAUGGUAAAUAUGGAAACUCUCCCAUAGCAUCUGCUGGGCAUGGACCUAAGCUUGACAGUACAGUGAUCCUGCCAGGGCCUCAUCCCUCUGUGUUUAUUAGCUGUAAGGGACCUCAAACUACAGCUGAGAGAAUAUUCCCUGAGUCCAGUCAUAGCUUCCUUAUUUAUAUAUAUAUAUGAGACCCACAUAACAUCAGCUGUCUCUGCUCUGAGGUUCACCUGUAGCUGUCUUAAUUUCCAAAAUAAAUAAAUACUAAUGGUCACUGUUUGUCUGUUAGAUGAGGGCUGCCCUCUGCUGGCAUGUUUCUGACAAUGAUGCACAAUAAAGGCAGCUGCUACCCAAA